GCUUAGGCUCCCAAAGGCA
rnacentral:snRNA from 1 species